UACGUAGGUGGCGAGCGUUGUCCGGAUUUACUGGGCGUAAAGGGAGCGUAGGCGGACUUUUAAGUGAGAUGUGAAAUACUCGGGCUCAACUUGAGUGCUGCAUUUCAAACUGGGAGUCUAGAGUGCAGGAGAGGAGAAUGGAAUUCCUAGUGUAGCGGUGAAAUGCGUAGAGAUUAGGAAGAACACCAGUGGCGAAGGCGAUUCUCUGGACUGUGACUGACGCUGAGGCUCGAAAGCGUGGGGAGCAAACAGG
rnacentral:rRNA from 1 species